UGCGAUAGAUUUAGAUUUUUUUUUUAAUUAUUUGUGUUUGACAGAGCAUUCAAGUUCAUUUCAUGGUAGUGUUUGUAAUUUACCUAGUUUUAAUCUGUAGCCUAACUAUGUUUUUACAGGUGUUCCUGGACAGUUUUGAAACCGAGAUGUCUGAACGCCUCAAAUAAUCAGCAGUAAAGACAACAGAGACAAAUUCUCUAAUACCAAGGUCAAUGCAUUUGACUGCUGUCCAGCCCCGGGUUGCCACCGAAAACGUUAUGCAUCUUGGACUGGAAGAUGGUGUGCUAGUAAGGAAGCUAGCUACCACAGCUUUUGCCACCACAUCUCAGUGUUGGGAGGGAAGUUCACUCACUGCACAACUCUACCAGCUGUACCUUUCCUCCUCAGCCAUGAUCCGUAACCACCAUGGUUUUCUUUCUGGGCCAGAAGACUUUGCAAACAAAUAAGCAAUAAAUGAUCAUGCAUUACAAAUUUAGCCAUGUUAGACCGUUAAGUUGUUGGCUUGUAGGCUGGGUGUCCAGUAAACAAUUUCAAGCUUAGAGGGCAAAUUCUCUCACCUAGGAGGGUAAACAACUUUUGUUUUUCAUGAAAUCUGCAUUAUGAAUUGAUGGUCUACCAAUGAGGCUGUAGAGUAUUGCGACACAAUAGUGGCAAAAAGCAAUUGCGCGAUGAAACAUGCAUUGGGGUGUAUUAUAUUAUAUAUUAUUUCACACACGUAGAUAUUAAAUGUGUGCGCGCAAAUUCUCUCUGCGCGUGCGCACUCAGAGGAAACUGCUCCCCAAGCAUGGAAGAAAAUGCUGCGAGCGAGGAGGAAUCUGACCAGCGCUCCAAACAGCCACUCGAAAAAUCUAUGCAUGUGAAAUAUAAUACGCCCAAAUGCAUGUUUUAUCGCAUUACCACAUCCAACUUGAAAAGAUAUGCUCAAGAGAUCGAUAACUUUCAGAAAAAUGUUUUACUUUUGUAAGUUGGUAUUAAGUUGAACUUAAUACAUAAUUCAAUACACUUAAUUACACUUGGAUUUGACGAAAAAAGUACAAACUGUACUUAGUACACUUUCAAAAAGUAUACUUUUAAUAGUUUUUUUUUUUUAC